GAUGAAGAACGCAGCGAAAUGCGAUAAGUAAUGUGAAUUGCAGAAUUCAGUGAAUCAUCGAAUCUUUGAACGCACAUUGCGCCCGCCAGUAUUCUGGCGGGCAUGCCUGUUCGAGCGUCAUUACAACCCUCAGGCCCCCGGGCCUGGCGUUGGGGAUCGGCGGAGCCCCCCGUGGGCACACGCCGUCCCCCAAAUGCAGUGGCGGUCCCGCCGCAGCUUCCAUCGCGUAGUAGCUAACACCUCGCGACUGGAGAGCGGCGCGGCCACGCCGUAAAACACCCAACUCUUCUGAAGUUGACCUCGAAUCAGGUAGGAAUACCCGCUGAACUUAAGCAUAUCAAUAAGCGAAAGA
rnacentral:misc_RNA from 1 species